rnacentral:rRNA from 1 species
UAGGGAAUCUUCGGCAAUGGGGGCAACCCUGACCGAGCAACGCCGCGUGAGUGAAGAAGGUUUUCGGAUCGUAAAGCUCUGUUGUAAGAGAAGAACGUGUGUGAGAGUGGAAAGUUCACACAGUGACGGUAACUUACCAGAAAGGUACGGCUAACUACGUGCCAGCAGCCGCGGUAAUACGUAGGUCCCGAGCGUUGUCCGGAUUUAUUGGGCGUAAAGCGAGCGCAGGCGGUUUAAUAAGUCUGAAGUUAAAGGCAGUGGCUUAACCAUUGUUCGCUUUGGAAACUGUUAAACUUGAGUGCAGAAGGGGAGAGUGGAAUUCCAUGUGUAGCGGUGAAAUGCGUAGAUAUAUGGAGGAACAACGGUGGCGAAAGCGGGUCUCUGGUAUGUAACUGACGCUGAGGCUCGAAAGCGUGGGGAGCAAACAGG